rnacentral:rRNA from 1 species
UACGUAGGGGGCAAGCGUUGUCCGGAAUCAUUGGGCGUAAAGAGCGUGUAGGCGGCCAGGUAGGUCGGUUGUGAAAACUGGAGGCUCAACCUUCAGAGGUCGACCGAAACCAUCUGGCUAGAGUCCGGGAGAGGAGAGUGGAAUUCCUGGUGUAGCGGUGAAAUGCGCAGAUAUCAAGAAGAACACCCGUGGCGAAAGCGGCUCUCUGGAACGGUACUGACGCUGAGACGCGAAAGCGUGGGGAGCGAACAGG